CAGCCACUCGCUCAACUCAGUCGUAGCGUUGAUCUGUAGUAGCUCAGUCGACCCACCAGGUUCAAGUCCCCCCCCCCUCGCCUUUCGUCGAGUACCUCUUUUGCUGUUGCUGUUGCUGCUGCUGCUGCUGUUGAGUUUUGCAGCGACUCUGCUCGUCGCAAGCGAGCCCCGGUGACUACUCGGCUGGAUUUGGGGGAUUUUUUUUGGGGGGGGGGAGGAUUUGUUGUUGUUUUAUCGCAGCCGCGAAGGAGAAGUCGUUCUGCUUUUCUUUUUUAUCGUUCACUCGCAGGGUGGAGAUGCAGAAGGACACCACCUUCACCAAGAUCUUCGUCGGGGGGCUGCCCUACCACACCACGGACGCGUCGCUCAGGAAGUACUUCGAGGCGUUCGGGGAGAUCGAUGAGGCGGUCGUGAUCACCGACCGGCAGACGGGCAAGUCCCGCGGAUAUGGAUUUGUCACCAUGUGUGAGCGCGGCGCGGCCGAGCGCGCCUGCAAGGACCCCAACCCGAUCAUCGACGGCAGGAAGGCGAACGUCAACCUCGCCUACAUCGGGGCCAAGCCGCGCGUCAUGCAGCCAGGCUAUGGAUUUGGUGUUCAACAGUUCCCUACGUUUGUUCAGCGGCCCUACGGGUGAUGACGACAGCUGUGGACAGCAGUUGCUCAGCCCUGUGCCUUCAUUCGUGCCGCUCAAGUUUGUAGUGACUGGGUCUCUGUAUGACUGCAGGCCCAGUACGUCUACCCGCAGGCCUUC